rnacentral:lncRNA from 1 species
CUCAGCUACUGCUCUAGUCCCAGGAGUUGCCCAAGUCCCGAAUAAAUUCUGUCUUGCUCAAACUUUUAAAAUUUAAUUCACCUAAGGAAUUUUCCUUUUAACAGUUUUCAUGUAGUUGGCAAGAACCAAAGUUGAACUCCAAUAGCCCAGGAGCAACCAGGCCUAGAUACUAGAAGUCUAUCCUGUUCCUGUCUUGCUGCAUCUGGGAAUUAUAGAAUCUUAAGACUACAAGAAGGAGAGUUAAGAGGACCAACAUCGCAGAAAACUCUGUGCCAGCCAUACAGAGAGUUGAAGAUGUGAAGUUAGAGAUUGCUUCUGUAUAAUGGCUUCCCAUCACCUUUAGAAUAGUCUUCAACUCCCCACCUUUUCCAUGAUGAUCUGUAUCCUGCCUCGUACUGAAAUCAGUCCAUGCUACUCCUAUCAAUAACUUCGUACCCACUGAUCAACCUUGGUCUAUCCCUCCCUUCCUCCUAUGUCCCGGCCCGCGGGUAAGUCAACGGAGACCCUAGAGGGGGAGUGAGAAUGACAAGAGACAAGAGACACGAGAGAUGGAG